UGCAAUCCUUGGUGUGUCAUCGAGGAUAAGGCGGGGAUAAUUAUGAAGGUACCCUGCUGUAUUAGUGUCGUCUAAAGCUCGUGCCAGAAGACUCGGUAAGGCGAGAGACACAAACGUUAAUCUCACUGAUUAGGCGUAAAGGGUGUGUAGGCAGGUUUAAUAAAAAAAUAUUAAAGUUUACUAUUAAAAACAUAGAAUAUUUAAAUAAAAAAAAAUCAAAUAAAAGUUGCAAUGAUACUAUUAUUAAAAAUAUUAUUUUUUUUUUUUUAUUUUAGUAAGAAUUUUAUAUUUUUUAUAUAUUUAAGGAUUAACUUUUUUUAUUUUUUUAUUUGUUAUUUUAAAUUUUAUAUUUAAUUUUAAUUUUAAUAUUUUUUUUGUAUUGAAUCUAGAAUCUAAAAGAGGUAAAAUUAAUGGUCUAUGUAGGAGUGCAAACUGUAAAUAUAGGCUAGAAAACUAGAGGCGAAGGCAUUUUACCCAUAAAGAUUGACGCUGAGAAACGAAGGUGAGGGCAGAAAAAAGGAUUAGAGACCCUUGUAUUCCUCACUGUCAACGAUGAAUGGUGGUUGCUAGUUGUGUGUCAACUGGUUUACGAUGUUAACACGAAACCAUUCCGCCUUGUGAGUACGACUGCACAAGUUAAAAACAAAAAAAUUAUCCGGUUUAGGAACAAACAAAUUGAACC
rnacentral:rRNA from 1 species